AAAUUGAAGAGUUUGAUCAUGGCUCAGAUUGAACGCUGGCGGCAGGCCUAACACAUGCAAGUCGAACGGUAACAGGAAACAGCUUGCUGUUUCGCUGACGAGUGGCGGACGGGUGAGUAAUGUCUGGGAAACUGCCUGAUGGAGGGGGAUAACUACUGGAAACGGUAGCUAAUACCGCAUAAUGUCGCAAGACUAAAGAGGGG
rnacentral:rRNA from 1 species